UAGCUUUUAGUUUAAUAUAAAACAUAAAUUUUGUAAAUUUAAAAUAACUGAAAUUAAUCAAUUAUAGCUAA
rnacentral:tRNA from 1 species